GGAAUCUUCCACAAUGGACGAAAGUCUGAUGGAGCAACGCCGCGUGAGUGAUGAAGGUUUUCGGAUCGUAAAACUCUGUUGUAAGGGAAGAACAAGUACGAGAGGGAAUGCUCGUACCUUGACGGUACCUUGCGAGAAAGCCACGGCUAACUACGUGCCAGCAGCCGCGGUAAUACGUAGGUGGCAAGCGUUGUCCGGAAUUAUUGGGCGUAAAGCGCGCGCAGGCGGCCUUUUAAGUCUGAUGUGAAAGCCCCCGGCUCAACCGGGGAGGGUCAUUGGAAACUGGAAGGCUUGAGUACAGAAGAGAAGAGUGGAAUUCCAUGUGUAGCGGUGAAAUGCGUAGAGAUGUGGAGGAACACCAGUGGCGAAGGCGACUCUUUGGUCUGUAACUGACGCUGAGGCGCGAAAGCGUGGGGAGCAAACAGGAUUAGAUACCCGGG
rnacentral:rRNA from 1 species